rnacentral:lncRNA from 12 species
GUAACCCAUAGCUCCCUUUGGGCUAUUCAUGCAAAAUUGUUUAUUUCACUUCUGCAAAACUGGGUCUCCCUUUAUUUGGAAUGACAUUUCUGCUGAUUUCAAGGAGAUAAGAAGACAAAAGCACCCUGAUCCUAAAAAAAAGAAGAUCAGAUGUAGGAUGGAAUAGAAUGUAUUCUAUUUGGACUUGGAUUGGAAUAGGUAAGAGAGUUUGAAUAUGAAGGAGAGCUG